rnacentral:rRNA from 1 species
AUUACCCAAUCCUGACACAGGGAGGUAGUGACAAUAAAUAACAAUGCCGGGCCUUUCUAGAUCUGGCAAUUGGAAUGAGAACAAUUUAAAUCCCUUAUCGAGGAUCAACUGGAGGGCAAGUCUGGUGCCAGCAGCCGCGGUAAUUCCAGCUCCAAUAGCGUAUAUUAAAGUUGUUGCAGUUAAAAAGCUCGUAGUUGGAUUUCUGGUGGGAGCGGUCGGUGCGGUCCUCAGGAUUGCUACUCGUACCGUCUCUCGCCAUCCUUGGGUCGAUCCUGUCUGGCAUUAAGUUGUCGGGCAGGGGAUGCCCAUCGUUUACUGUGAAAAAAUUAGAGUGUUCAAAGCAGGCUUAUGCCGUUGAAUAUAUUAGCAUGGAAUAAUAAGAUAGGACUUUGGUACUAUUUUGUUGGUUUGCGCACCAAAGUAAUGAUUAAUAGGGACAGUUGGGGGUAUUCGUAUUCCGUUGUCAGAGGUGAAAUUCUUGGAUUUCCGGAAGACGAACUACUGCGAAAGCAUAUACCAAGGAUGUCUUCUUUAAUCAAGAACGAAAGUUGGGGGAUCGAAGAUGAUCAGAUACCGUCGUAGUCCCAACCAUAAACUAUGCCAACUAGGGAUGAGUGGACGUUGCAUUUUCGACUCCAUUCGCACCUUAUGAGAAAUCAAAGUCUUUGGGUUCCGGGGGGAGUAUGGUCGCAAGGCUGAAACUUAAAGGAAUUGACGGAAGGGCACCAC